rnacentral:lncRNA from 1 species
CAGACAAGAAAACUUCGUAUCUUCAGUUACACAGCAAAAAGCAAGAGAAGUUCUUCAAGAGCAGAUUGCAGAUACUAAAACUGUUGAUGAGGAACCAGUUCAGAGUGUCCCACCAUUCCAGAACGUGAAAAUGGACCCUGAAGACAAGUGGUACCUGAAGUCACAGCAGCUCAAGGAUCACCAAAACAAGUGGUCCCAGAGAAAGAAGAUAAAAUCCAACCAGAGUCUCAAAGGGGGAGCUUUCUCAAGGAGUGAUAACCAACAGCCAGCAGGAAGACCUAGCAGAACCAAAGCCUUGGCAUCGCCCAACGUCAGAAUUUCGGACAGCUCCCACACAGGCAGCAGAGCAAGACAACAGCAGUGCACCGCAGAAAUGGCUGUGCCCCAGUCUUUCUGUCGGACCUGA